CUAUUCCUUUUCUUUCUUUUUUCCCCCCAUAUUUGGAAUUAAGAGAACUUGGUUACUGUCCUAAACAUGGCUUUUAUUUUAUUUUUGGUACAUGGGGGUCGAACUCAGGACCUUCUGCUUGCGAGGCAGGCGGCAGAACCACUGAGCUAAAUCCCCAGCCCUAUCCUAGUAUCUUCUCACAGGAGGUCACACAACUGGGACCACUCUGAGGAAGAUGUCAACAUAAUCAGCGCACUUCAUACAGAAAGACAGACUGGCCAGAACCUCAGAACUGUCAUGGCGCCUUCUAGGAGAGAGAGGCCUUCCUUUCGUCCAGCAGGAUCACGGGGGGAACCUGGACUGAGCGGAGGGGUGGACCAGAGACAGUCCCGGCGGGGACCUAAAAGACGAGCCGUCGGCUAGGUGUCACUGUCGGCGGCGCAAGGG
rnacentral:lncRNA from 1 species